UACGAAGGGGGCUAGCGUUGUUCGGAAUCACUGGGCGUAAAGCGCACGUAGGCGGCCUGAUAAGUCGGGUGUGAAAGCCCUGGGCUCAACCCAGGAAGUGCACUCGAAACUGUCAGGCUUGAAUAUGGAAGAGGGUCGCGGAAUUCCCGGUGUAGAGGUGAAAUUCGUAGAUAUCGGGAGGAACACCAGUGGCGAAGGCGGCGACCUGGGCCAAUAUUGACGCUGAGGUGCGAAAGCGUGGGGAGCAAACAGG
rnacentral:rRNA from 1 species